AAGAGUGGUUUUAAGCAUGCUGGCGGCGUGCCUAAUACAUGCAAGUCGAGCGGACAGAUGGGAGCUUGCUCCCUGAAGUCAGCGGCGGACGGGUGAGUAACACGUGGGCAACCUGCCUGUAAGACUGGGAUAACUCCGGGAAACCGGGGCUAAUACCGGAUAAUUCUUUCCCUCACAUGAGGGAAAGCUGAAAGAUGGUUUCGGCUAUCACUUACAGAUGGGCCCGCGGCGCAUUAGCUAGUUGGUGAGGUAACGGCUCACCAAGGCAACGAUGCGUAGCCGACCUGAGAGGGUGAUCGGCCACACUGGGACUGAGACACGGCCCAGACUCCUACGGGAGGCAGCAGUAGGGAAUCUUCCGCAAUGGACGAAAGUCUGACGGAGCAACGCCGCGUGAGUGAUGAAGGUUUUCGGAUCGUAAAACUCUGUUGUUAGGGAAGAACAAGUACCGGAGUAACUGCCGGUACCUUGACGGUACCUAACCAGAAAGCCACGGCUAACUACGUGCCAGCAGCCGCGGUAAUACGUAGGUGGCAAGCGUUGUCCGGAAUUAUUGGGCGUAAAGCGCGCGCAGGCGGUUCCUUAAGUCUGAUGUGAAAGCCCCCGGCUCAACCGGGGAGGGUCAUUGGAAACUGGGGAACUUGAGUGCAGAAGAAAAGAGUGGAAUUUCACGUGUA
rnacentral:rRNA from 1 species